rnacentral:rRNA from 1 species
UGAGCCAGUACAGGAGGGACCCGCGUCUGAUUAGCUAGUGGGUAAGGUAACGGCUUACCAAGGCGACGAGCAGUAGCCGACCUGAGAGGGUGAUCGGCCACAUUGGAACUGAGACACGGUCCAAACGCCUACGGGAGGCAGCAGUGGGGAAUAUUGCACAAUGGGCGAAAGCCUGAUGCAGCAACGCCGCGGGAGUGAUGAAGGCCUUCGGG